AAGUCAUCUGCCAUCAUUAAGAGUACUAUGGAGAAGCUCGACAAAGGCUUGCAAGAGCAGAAGCAACAUCGGAUCUUCAAACAGAUGAUAUUCCAGAAAAGCGACGUAGAAGGUUGCCAUGGUGGCAGAAAUUGGAGGAGGGUCCAUAGAUGAUGCAGUAAAACGAGCUGUGCGAUUCCUCAUGUCCCCUGAAUUGGCAUUCCAGUUCAACCUUUUUGGCCGACAUGGGAAACAAGUUCCAGGACCUGCGCCUCUGAUGUUUUGUAUGGAGUACUGAAAAGAAAUGGAUCCAUCCUCGGAAUCACAUAAAGAUACGGAAAAGGCACUCUGGAAGUGGGUUACUGGAGCCCGGGACAGAGGUGGAAAUGGAAAAGUUAGAGCGACUAGGGAGGCAGCGAGCUCUGACUCAGGUGGGCAGGUCCUCCAAGAUGGACAGUUACAAUGAUGUGUGAGAGCUUUCAAGUGUGGC